UACGUAGGGGGGCAAGCGUUUGUCCGGAUUUAUUGGGCGUAAAGAGCGUGUAGGCGGCCAGACAGGUCAGCUGUGAAAACUCGAGGCUCAACCUCGAGACGUCGGUUGAAACCGUCUGGCUAGAGUCCGGAAGAGGAGAGUGGAAUUCCCGGUGUAGCGGUGAAAUGCGCAGAUAUCGGGAAGAACACCCGUGGCGAAGGCGGCUCUCUGGGACGGUACUGACGCUGAGACGCGAAAGCGUGGGGGAGCGAACAGG
rnacentral:rRNA from 1 species